GAUGAACGCCGGCGGCGUGCUUAACACAUGCAAGUCGAACGAUGAAGCCCAGCUUGCUGGGUGGAUUAGUGGCGAACGGGUGAGUAACACGUGAGUAACCUGCCCUUAACUCUGGGAUAAGCCUGGGAAACUGGGUCUAAUACCUGAUAGGAGCGUCCACCGCAUGGUGGGUGUUGGAAAGAUUUAUCGGUUUUGGAUGGACUCGCGGCCUAUCAGCUUGUUGGUGAGGUGAUGGCUCACCAAGGCGACGACGGGUAGCCGGCCUGAGAGGGUGACCGGCCACACUGGGACUGAGACACGGCCCAGACUCCUACGGGAGGCAGCAGUGGGGAAUAUUGCACAAUGGGCGCAAGCCUGAUGCAGCGACGCCGCGUGAGGGAUGACGGCCUUCGGGUUGUAAACCUCUUUCAGUAGGGAAGAAGCGAAAGUGACGGUACCUGCAGAAGAAGCACCGGCUAACUACGUG
rnacentral:rRNA from 1 species